GGGUCCCUAGUCGGAUCGUUGUCAUAGCAAUCGGAGGCCGCUACCUGUCCCGGGAGGGACUCCCGCGUACCGGAGCCCCGAGAAGGGAACUGGGGAGGUGCCCGAGGCGCUGAGGUCGACGCAGCGUGACGGCGGCGGCGGCCUGCCGGCGAGCAGCUGGAGAGCCAGGAGACAAAGAAGGAGCCCAGCCUCCCCCUCAAUCCUCACCCCCAGGCCUGGCGACACUCGAAGAGGGACAGUGGACAGCGAGGGACAUGAUGCCAUGCACACGCAGGGAGAAAACAGGCUUAGACUACAGCCGAGAGAGACAGAGAGCGAGGGAGGCCUGAGUCCCAAGGCAGACCCUCAGCUAACAGGGACUGUGCUCCCUGCCUCACAGCAUCGUCAGCGGAGGGCCGGGGAGGAGAGCAGCUUGCCUGGGGUCAGCCGGUUAGAAGGGUCAGAGCCAGGAUUCAAUCUCGGGGCCUGAACCUGAGGCCAUGCUCUUAGUGAUUAGCAGGUGCGUUAGCCAGGGCUGUGGGCCACUGUGGGGUGGUUUCUAACGCUCUCCUAUUCCUCCCCCAGGGGGCAUGGUGGGCACGGUGCAGCUGGCUAGGGCUGGGGCUGUGUGGAAAGGCAGAGAGAGGGGCGGAUGCCUGCGGUGUUAAGAGGGUGGGAAGGGGGAGCAGAGAGGAAGGCCAGAAGAAAGUGAAGGACAAAGACAAGGCCAUUGCUGGAGGGCACAGGCUUCCAGUGCCUGGGCUGCCUGCCCUGCCGGCCCGGGAGCCCUGCUGGCAGGCUGGCGCCCAUGGGCAUGCAGUUAGUGGGAGCCCCUGCGAGUUAGCCCUUCCCCUAGCAAGCCCCUAGCAAGCCGGUGAGCGCAAGCGGUGGGAGCGACAUAUUUACCAUUAGAAAUGGCCUGAGGGGGGCCCGGCUGCUCUAGCUUCCUUUCCCCUGUUUGACAUCGUAAAAAAGCUGUUUAGACCCUGGGCAGGAGCCUCCUCCCCGCACCCGUCUCCACCCUGGAGAACCAGGAGCCCUGGGGGCCCCCAAGAGCAGCC